ACCACAUCACUGCCCCUCCCAAUUCAGCAGUGUGUCUGGAUACAGCCAAAGAGCGGUCCCACGGUUCAGCGAUACCUCUCCUCCAGGCUCUUUGGGAACGCCGGGAGGUACUCUUCCCCAGGGAUGGAAGUAGGAGACCCUCCUGCUUGACCAAGAAGGCCUGGACAAACAUCACAGAGGAGGUAUAAUUGUUUAAGUACUGAUGAUGGUUUAAGAGUGGAACCGACUUGGAGAUGCUACAAUGUGUGACAGAGUGAGGAAACUAAAUUGAACCAACAAUCAUGGCCUUGAUUUCUCUCUUGGCGGUAACUAAAGCAGAGUUACUGUGAAUAAAAUGGAAAAAGCAUCAAAUGGCGAAA